AUUGAACGCUGGCGGCACGCCUUACACAUGCAAGUCGAACGGCAGCGGGGACUUCGGUCCGCCGGCGAGUGGCGAACGGGUGAGUAAUGUAUCGGAACGUACCAUUGAGUGGGGGAUAACGUAGCGAAAGUUACUCUAAUACCGCAUAUUCUCUCCGGAGGAAAGCAGGGCAACGCAAGGCCUCGCGCUCUUUGAGCGGCUGAUAUCAGAUUAGCUAGUUGGUGAGGUAAAGGCUCACCAAGGCGACGAUCUGUAGCGGGUCUGAGAGGAUGAUCCGCCACACUGGAACUGAGACACGGCCCAGACUCCUACGGGAGGCAGCAGUGGGGAAUUUUGGACAAUGGGGGCAACCCUGAUCCAGCCAUGCCGCGUGAGUGAAGAAGGCCUUCGGGUUGUAAAGCUCUUUCGGCCGGGAAAAAAUCGCAUGGGCUAAUACCCUGUGUGGAUGAUGGUACCGGAAUAAGAAGCACCGGCUAACUACGUGCCAGCAGCCGCCGCGG
rnacentral:rRNA from 1 species